rnacentral:hammerhead_ribozyme from 1 species
AUCCAUCUGAUGAGUCCCAAAUAGGACGAAACGUGCAU